AUUUAGGUGGCUCAGUGGUAAAGCACCUGCCUGCAACGCAGGAAUUGCGGGUUCAGCCCCUGGGUU
rnacentral:tRNA from 1 species